AUUGAACGCUGGCGGCAGGCCUAACACAUGCAAGUCGAGCGGUAGAGAGAAGCUUGCUUCUCUUGAGAGCGGCGGACGGGUGAGUAAUGCCUAGGAAUCUGCCUGGUAGUGGGGGAUAACGUUCGGAAACGGACGCUAAUACCGCAUACGUCCUACGGGAGAAAGCAGGGGACCUUCGGGCCUUGCGCUAUCAGAUGAGCCUAGGUCGGAUUAGCUAGUUGGUGGGGUAAUGGCUCACCAAGGCGACGAUCCGUAACUGGUCUGAGAGGAUGAUCAGUCACACUGGAACUGAGACACGGUCCAGACUCCUACGGGAGGCAGCAGUGGGGAAUAUUGGACAAUGGGCGAAAGCCUGAUCCAGCCAUGCCGCGUGUGUGAAGAAGGUCCUCGGAUUGUAAAGCACUUUAAGUUGGGAGGAAGGGCAGUAAAUUAAUACUUUGCUGUUUUGACGUUACCGACAGAAUAAGCACCGGCUAACUCUGUG
rnacentral:rRNA from 1 species